rnacentral:rRNA from 1 species
GUUGUAUGGUUAAGUGACUAAGCGUACACGGUGGAUGCCUAGGCAGUCAGAGGCGAUGAAGGACGUACUAACUUGCGAUAAGCGCAGAUAAGGCAGUAAGAGCCGUUUGAGUCUGCGAUUUCCGAAUGGGGAAACCCAACUGCACAAGCAGUUACUGUUAACUGAAUACAUAGGUUAACAGAGCAAACCGGGGGAACUGAAACAUCUAAGUACCCCGAGGAGAAGAAAUCAACCGAGAUUCCGGUAGUAGCGGCGAGCGAACCUGGAUUAGCCCUUAAGCACUCGUUGAAGUAGGUGAACAAGCUGGAAAGCUUGGCGAUACAGGGUGAUAGCCCCGUAACCGACGCUUCAUCGAGCGUGAAAUCGAGUAGGGCGGGACACGUGAUAUCCUGUCUGAAUAUGGGGGGACCAUCCUCCAAGGCUAAAUACUCCUGACUGACCGAUAGUGAACCAGUACCGUGAGGGAAAGGCGAAAAGAACCCCUGUGAGGGGAGUGAAAUAGAACCUGAAACCGUGUACGUACAAGCAGUAGGAGCACCUUCGUGGUGUGACUGCGUACCUUUUGUAUAAUGGGUCAGCGACUUAUAUUCAGUGGCAAGGUUAACCGUAUAGGGGAGCCGUAGCGAAAGCGAGUCUUAACUGGGCGCUCAGUCUCUGGAUAUAGACCCGAAACCGGGUGAUCUAGCCAUGGGCAGGUUGAAGGUUGAGUAACAUCAACUGGAGGACCGAACCGACUAAUGUUGAAAAAUUAGCGGAUGACUUGUGGCUAGGGGUGAAAGGCCAAUCAAACUCGGAGAUAGCUGGUUCUCCCCGAAAGCUAUUUAGGUAGCGCCUCGGACGAAUACUACUGGGGGUAGAGCACUGUUAAGGCUAGGGGGUCAUCCCGACUUACCAACCCUUUGCAAACUCCGAAUACCAGUAAGUACUAUCCGGGAGACACACGGCGGGUGCUAACGUCCGUCGUGGAGAGGGAAACAACCCAGACCGCCAGCUAAGGUCCCAAAGUAUUGCUAAGUGGGAAACGAUGUGGGAAGGCUCAGACAGCUAGGAUGUUGGCUUAGAAGCAGCCAUCAUUUAAAGAAAGCGUAAUAGCUCACUAGUCGAGUCGGCCUGCGCGGAAGAUGUAACGGGGCUAAGCAAUACACCGAAGCUGCGGCAAUGCCUUUUAGGUAUUGGGUAGGGGAGCGUUCUGUAAGCCGUUGAAGGUGGUCUGUAAGGGCUGCUGGAGGUAUCAGAAGUGCGAAUGCUGACAUGAGUAACGACAAAGGGGGUGAAAAACCUCCUCGCCGGAAGACCAAGGGUUCCUGUCCAACGUUAAUCGGGGCAGGGUGAGUCGACCCCUAAGGUGAGGCCGAAAGGCGUAAUCGAUGGGAAACGGGUUAAUAUUCCCGUACUUCUGACUAUUGCGAUGGGGGGACGGAGAAGGCUAGGUGGGCCAGGCGACGGUUGUCCUGGUUCAAGUGCGUAGGCUUAAGAGUUAGGUAAAUCCGGCUCUUUCUAAGGCUGAGACACGACGUCGAGCUGCUACGGCAGUGAAGUCAUUGAUGCCAUGCUUCCAGGAAAAGCCUCUAAGCUUCAGAUAGUCAGGAAUCGUACCCCAAACCGACACAGGUGGUCGGGUAGAGAAUACCAAGGCGCUUGAGAGAACUCGGGUGAAGGAACUAGGCAAAAUGGUACCGUAACUUCGGGAGAAGGUACGCUCUUGAUGGUGAAGUCCCUUGCGGAUGGAGCUGACGAGAGUCGCAGAUACCAGGUGGCUGCAACUGUUUAUUAAAAACACAGCACUGUGCAAAAUCGCAAGAUGACGUAUACGGUGUGACGCCUGCCCGGUGCCGGAAGGUUAAUUGAUGGGGUUAGCGCAAGCGAAGCUCUUGAUCGAAGCCCCGGUAAACGGCGGCCGUAACUAUAACGGUCCUAAGGUAGCGAAAUUCCUUGUCGGGUAAGUUCCGACCUGCACGAAUGGCGUAAUGAUGGCCACGCUGUCUCCACCCGAGACUCAGUGAAAUUGAAAUCGCUGUGAAGAUGCAGUGUACCCGCGGCUAGACGGAAAGACCCCGUGAACCUUUACUACAGCUUGGCACUGAACAUUGAACCUACAUGUGUAGGAUAGGUGGGAGGCUAUGAAGACGUGACGC